CCAUUUUUUCCAAAAGUAUUUACUCAUUUUGUGACUCUGUGUCACAUUUUGGUAAUUCUUACAAUAUUUCAAACUUUUUCCUUAUUAUUUUAUUU